rnacentral:rRNA from 1 species
AGUGAACGCUGGCGGUAGGCCUAACACAUGCAAGUCGAACGGCAGCACAGUAAGCUUUUGCUCUUACGGGUGGCGAGUGGCGGACGGGUGAGGCAUACAUCGCAAUCUACUUUUUCGUGGGGGAUUACGUAGGGCAACUUACGCUAAUACCGCAUAUGACCUACGGGUGAAAGCAGUGGAUCUUCGGACCUUGCGCGAUUGAUUGAGCCGAUGUCGGAUUAGCUAGUUGGCGGGGUAAAGGCCCACCAAGGCGACGAUCCGUAGCUGAUCUGAGAGGAUGAUCAGCCACACUGGAACUGAGACACGGUCCAGACUCCUACGGGAGGCAGCAGUGGGGAAUAUUGGACAAUGGGCGCAAGCCUGAUCCAGCCAUACCGCGUGGGUGAAGAAGGCCUUCGGAUUGUAAAGCCCUUUUGUUGGGAAAGAAAAGCAGCAGGUUAAUACCCCGCUGUUCUGACGGUACCCAAAGAAUAAGCACCGGCUAACUUCGUG